GACCUGGUGGUGAAUGGUUCACACCCACCCUCAUUGUUAUGUUGCCAAGGCUGUGAGGUGGGAGCACUCGGUUCGAUUCCGGGCUAGGUCA